CUUGGUGGCUAUAGCACAUGUGGACCCACACGAUUCCAUUCCGAACUCGACCGUGAAACCAUGUAGCGCCGAUUGUACUACAUCUUAAGAUGUGGGAGAGUAGGACACUGCCAGGC
rnacentral:rRNA from 1 species